rnacentral:lncRNA from 1 species
GCAAAAGCUUGCCAGCUCAGAAUUCUUUUGCUCUUCUUAUAAAGCCACAAGUCUGAUCAUGGAAGCACCACCCCAAUGAUCUUAUCUCAUUCUAAUUACCUCUCAAAGGUCUCACCUGUAAAUAUCAUCAACAUCUGAAUUUAAGUUUUCAACAUAUGAAAUUUGGUGGAUAUAGUCAAACUGUAGCAGUCAUGAAGCAAGAAUCGAAUACUUUCAAAGACUUUGAAUCAUAUAGAAUGUUUUCUCUUCACAACAGAAAAAAUUAUAAAUCAAUAACAAGAAGAUAUCUGGGAUAUUUUCAGCAAUAAACUAUAAUAUGUGUCACCAAUGGGAAAAAAGGGAGAAGUAAACAUCUACAUAUUUCUGAAUUUCAAAAAGAAUCGAAAACAUUCGAGAUUGUCAGAAGAAGCAAAGUUCAUCUUAGCACUGACUCAACAGGAAAUUUCUCAAGUGGAAUUUUACAUCAGGAUGCUGUGUGAUAUAAAAUAAACAAUGGUGUCAAUAAUAUUCUG